AUUGAACGCUGGCGGCAGGCCUAACACAUGCAAGUCGAGCGGUAGAGAGAAGCUUGCUUCUCUUGAGAGCGGCGGACGGGUGAGUAAUGCCUAGGAAUCUGCCUGGUAGUGGGGGAUAACGUUCGGAAACGGACGCUAAUACCGCAUACGUCCUACGGGAGAAAGCAGGGGACCUUCGGGCCUUGCGCUAUCAGAUGAGCCUAGGUCGGAUUANCUANUUGGUGGGGUAAUGGCUCACCAAGGCGACGAUCCGUAACUGGUCUGAGAGGAUGAUCAGUCACACUGGAACUGAGACACGGUCCAGACUCCUACGGGAGGCAGCAGUGGGGAAUAUUGGACAAUGGGCGAAAGCCUGAUCCAGCCAUGCCGCGUGUGUGAAGAANGUCUUCGGAUUGUAAAGCACUUUAAGUUGGGAGGAAGGGCAGUAAAUUAAUACUUUGCUGUUUUGACGUUACCGACAGAAUAAGCACCGGCUAACUCUGUGCCAGCAGCCGCGGUAAUACAGAAGGUGCAAGCGUUAAUCGGAAUU
rnacentral:rRNA from 1 species